UGCCAGCUGCCGAGCUAAUACGGAGGGAGCGAGCGUUAAUCGGAAUUACUGGGCGUAAAGCGCGCGUAGGCGGCUUUGUAAGUCGGAUGUGAAAGCCCUGGGCUCAACCUGGGAAUGGCAUUCGAUACUGCAGAACUAGAGUAUGGUAGAGGGAAGUGGAAUUUCCGGUGUAGCGGUGAAAUGCGUAGAUAUUCGGAGGAACACCAGUGGCGAAGGCGGCUUUCUGGACCGAUACUGACGCUGAGACGCGAAAGCGUGGGGAGCAAACAGGAUUAGAUA
rnacentral:rRNA from 1 species